rnacentral:rRNA from 1 species
GCCCAAGAGAGUCGGGAUAACACCUAGGAAACAGAUGCUAAUACCGGAUAACAACAGAUGAUGCCUAUCAACUGUUUAAAAGAUGGUUCUGCUAUCACUCUUGGAUGGACCUGCGGUGCAUUAGCUAGUUGGUAGGGUAACGGCCUACCAAGGCGAUGAUGCAUAGCCGAGUUGAGAGACUGAUCGGCCACAUUGGGACUGAGACACGGCCCAAACUCCUACGGGAGGCAGCAGCA